rnacentral:lncRNA from 1 species
GGUGGAAAACAAACAUUUCGAAUUUGGGACAAUAUUCAUUACAUAAGAGAAGGUGGAUAGUCCUACUACACACACUUGAUCCCUAAAAGAGAAGGGAAAAGUAAAACCAUAAAACUACUAUACUAACCUUUCUAAUGAAAGUUAUGAAGUAAAGGCUUCCACAACUUCAGUUACAUUGUGACCUACCUCUCCUACCACCAAAACGGCCACCACCCCUGUGAUUUCCUCUCCGACCACCACCAGAAUGAGCGCCUCGAGUGAAGUUUGGAGAGACAUUAUUAUUGUUCUGUCCUGAUUUUGGUCCAUUCUCGGGCACCUGACCUCCCAAAUUCAUCGGUGGAGGAGUAAAUUGGCCUGGUAUGCUCAUUGGAGAAGGUGAUUGUCCUUGAUUGAAGUUUGGAGAGCCAUUAAUGUACCCAGGAACCACAGCAUUUGGUUGUGAAUUGUUGUUCUGUCCUAAUUGCGGUCCAUUCGCUGGUACCUGACCUCCCAAAUUCAUCGGUGGAGGAGUAAAUUGGCCUGGUAUGCUCAUUGGAGAAGGUGAUUGUCCUUGAUUGAAGUUUGGAGAGCCAUUAAUGUACCCAGGAACCACAGCAUUUGGUUGUGAAUUGUUGUUCUGUCCUAAUUGCGGUCCAUUCGCUGGUACCUGACCUCCCAAAUUCAUGGGUGCAGGAGUAAAUUGGCCUGGU